CGCGCCGUUUGCCGUUUGGGCUCGGUUGCCCCAUGCCCCGGUCAGUUUCACACGGCUGAAGCCAGCCGGAACGUGUUGAGGAGGGGUGGGGGAUAGGGUUUUUUCGCAAGCCAGCGAGGCAGCGACCGUUUUGUCACCGCAACACCCCCGCCGACUCCCUCGCCGCCGCCAGGAAUGGAGUCCAGCGCUAAGAAGCUUAGCAGCCUCCGUAUCACCUCACUGGAUGGCGAUGAUGACGAAACCGAGGACCCGCAUCAGCCCCCUCCAGCAGGACCCUCCGCCGCUGCAGCAGAUUCUGAUGACGACGAUGAAGAGGAAGAAGCGGAAGUGACUCUUGGUGUCCUUAGCAAACCGAAACACCCAGGCCUCCUUCUCCGCCACUUGUUCCCCAGCAAGGCCGGCGGCAUCCCGGCGUGGCUAGACCCCGUGAACUUGCCGUCGGGGAAGUCCAGCUGCUGCGGUUUUUGUGGCGAGCCUUUGCAGUUUGUUCUUCAGAUUUAUGCAGCAGUUGAAGACAAUGUAGCAGCCUUCCAUCGAACUCUGUUCAUGUUCAUGUGCCCAUCCAUGGCGUGCUUGCUUCGAGAUCAACAUGAACAAUGGAAGCACAAGCAUGGGAAUCCAUGUAGAAGCGUGAAGGUUUUCCGGUGUCAAUUGCCACGGACUAAUGCCUUCUACUCAGCUCAACCUCCAAAGCAUGACCGGUCUGACAAACCACUGUGUCCAGGAGGUAGUGCUUAUCUUCUUUUGCACGGCAGUUGAUUGACACUAUAUAUCUUGCACUAGCUCAAUGGUGGACCCAGAUGCUAUGCUUAGGGUGUGCCAGAAAAAAUAUAAAAAAACAAACAAAAAAUAGGGAUCAUCAAGACUCAAACCUUGACUAUCAAGUUCAAGAUAUAGCACUUACACCUAGGGUGUGUCGUUGCCCAUAUGGACCACCCGCUGGGGCCGCCCCUGACUAGCUGUUACAUAAAUGUGUGAAAUUGUGAAUAUAUGUUUGAUAGUGACUUCUGAAUUUGUGGACCUGAAUUCAAGUUAGCAUCUAUGACAUUAUUUGUGUCUGUCAAUGUGGAACCUUUUUUAAAAAAACUUGGGCGGUAGGGGAAAGACUGUCCCAUGGUAUUAUAUUAAAAAGAAGCUUUUUUUUCUCGAAAACCGUAGCUACGCUUUAUAAAUAUAUUAGAAGAGUGGAAUAGGUCCGAAGAUGACCCAAAAAAUUACAAUAGACCUUCCCCUUCGGGAGGCCAGAAACAAGCGUACAAGAAACUGUCCAUUUGUUCACUAAUAAUCAGCGACAACGCUCAGCACCUCCCCUAAACAUUUGGCAUUGGCGCCGCCAAGAAGGAGAGCCAGUUGCCAUUUGUGUCUUUCCUCCUCAGCAGAUCUGAGCAGAAGGGUGAGGUCUGGAGUGGCUCCAUCAAACACCACUCUAUUCCGGUGCUUCCAAACCAUCCAGGCUCCCAAGAUGAUGAGGGAAUCCAGGCCUUUCUUAAUCAUCCUAGGAACAAUGUCGGAAGAUUUCUCCCACCAGUCCAAGAAGGAGGUAGCAUCCGGAUGAGGGGCUAAACUAUGAAGUGCACAUCUUCUUAGCAUAGCAUACCAGAACACUCUUGUGAAUACACAAGAUAUUAAGAAGAAGCUUAAUCAGAGCCCCGACCGAGAAAGGUCACGAAAGCCGACCCCUGUGUAUCAUGAGCCCAUGUAUGCCACUGGUGUGGUACCUGGAAAGGUGAUAAAAUAUGUAGUAGCUGUAAGAAAGCAAGAUACUGUUCUGAGAAACAUCAGGCACUGCAUUGGCGUACUGGUCAUAAAAAUGAUUGCCUCCAGAUAAUAAGUUCUUCUGCUGCUUCAAAUUCAGUUUUGCCAACUGUUGGAAAAGUUCCUGCUAACACUUUUUGGCCAGAAUUUGAGAUAAAAAUAGACUAUGAAGGUAGAUUUGAUUCCGAUAGUGGUGAUGAGAAUAACUCGAAGUUGUUGGUGAUGCAAAGACAUGGGAAACCUGAUGCUAUGAUGCAGUCAUGGAUGGAUCAAUUUGAGGCUGAUUCUGACAACAAAUGCUGGGCAUCUUUUCAAGAGCGGGUCUCAAGAGCACCAAAUCAAGUGUUGAGGUAUUGUCGAGAACCAAAUGCUAAACCUCUCUGGGCGUUAUCUUCUGGGUGUCCAUCAAAUGCUGAUAUCCCAUCAUGUAGCUACUGUAAAGGUCCAUUAUGUUAUGAAUUUCAGGUAAUGCCACAAUUGCUAUAUUUCUUUGUUGUGGGAAAUCAACCAGACUCCCUUGACUGGGCAACAAUUGCUGUCUACACGUGUCAAGGGGCAUGUGACCAAAGUGUUAGCUACAAAGAGGAGUUUGCUUGGGUUCAAUUGUACCCUACAACAACUACGAGGCAAUAAUAAUGUUUGCCUAUUCCUUGCUGUCCAAUGCUGCAGGUGUCAAAAAGUUUGCAGAAAGUCAGAAACAAUUCAGUAAAUACCCCCGCCAGAAGAAUUGGAGGUUGGGAUGCUCGAGGCAGGAGUUGACAGGAACCGUCUGCAAGUACGUACCUCCUUUUGGUACUAGAGUUUCUGAGAUAGGGAGGAGUGGCUUCAAUGUUUCCAGGUCUAUUGGUCGUGAGGAGACCGUGGGUCCCAGACACAUGGUCGUUACAUCGCCUUUGGUCCAUUUUAGGCACUACCAUAGGGCCCAUGUAGAUGUGAUGGCUAUAGGGGGUGUUUGGUUUCUAAGGACUAAUAUUUAGUCCCUUCAUUUUAUUCCUUUUAAGUUUUAGUUUCUAUAUUUGGUAAUUUUGGAACUAAAAUGGAAUAAAAUGUAGGGACUAAACAUUAGUCCCUACAAACCAAACACCCCAAUAGUUGCAUAUGCUUCCAUUUUUUGUGGUGGCCACCAUGUGUGGUUUAUUAGUGUUCGUGCCGUUGAAAGGCUUUGUUGUUUUUUCAUCUCUAAAAGGAUCCUUGGUAAGCUAUUUUUGUUCGCUUAGUCUCACUCAGAAGGUGCUCGCAUGCAUGUGAACAUUUCCGACGAUGGUUCAUCGGCGAAAGAUUUGAUUUUAAUAAAACGGAACAUUAUGGCAUGCUAA